rnacentral:lncRNA from 1 species
AGAGAGAGAAGAGUGUUUAUAAGGACCCCAAAUAUCACAGUGAAUGAGAUCAAAAGGCUUAACUGUCACACCCCGGUCCCGACGUCAGUGGUUUCCAAGCACCGGACGCCGAUCCCGAGACUUGAACGAGUGUUACAAAGCGGAAUAAAAUAAAAACACUAUCUUCUAGGCUCGUCGGCUAUCCUUUCCCGGCUCAAUCAAAUCUAAGUACUUCUCUGCAAAAAAAAUAUUAGAGAUGGGUGGGUGAACAUAACCACGUGCUCAGUGAGUAGACCAAUGUAAUAUGCCCGCAAAGCUAUGUCAUUUUACCCACGCUACAAAAUACGUAUAUCGUAUACACAUUAUUUCACGCAAUUCAUCACAUUGCACAAUCCCUUCUUAUUGGAUAUCCUUCAAUUUAGUGAUCCCCACGGGAACCUAAUGACCUUCAAGUCCUAUACCUCCGUGUGUCACAUCCUUACUUCGGCAUAACCAAUCAAGAAGUUCACAUGUUUCAUGACUAGUCAAACAAUGGAUCCAACACAUAAUAAUAUAUAAAACUCCACAUAUUUCGCAAAUCGACAUGCUUCACUAUAAAAUAGAGGAAUAUUUCGAAAAAGAUCAAAAUCAUGCUUUUCGACUAAUUUGAUAGCAAAUAAGAAUAUUUGAAACAUAUUACACAAAUCCACUCACCUCGAUAGCAUCGAAAUCCCACCACGAGUACCGAGCCUCUUAAAACAAGUCAUCUAGACAUCACCGUUGGACCUGGCUCAAACCUCUAGGAUAGGAAGAGGACAUCGAUACGAACUCGUAGCACUUCACAGAUUCAGAAUCGAAGUUACAGAUCAAAAGUUAUAAUCCACCAAAAUUUAGUCGUAACUCUUAAAAAGAGAAACAAAUACAGAGAGAAAGUCUC